rnacentral:misc_RNA from 1 species
UAUUCUCAACUCUCCAAUACUUUGUUGUAAAGGAGAGCUUGGAUUGUGGAGGUUUGCUGGCUCCUUACUUGAGGUCAGCUCCUCUGAAAUGCAUUAGCGGAAUCGUCUGCGAUCUGCCACAAGUGUGAUAACUUAUCUACACUGGCGAGGGGAUUGCUUUCUGAUGUUCAGCUUCUAAUCGUCUAAGGACAAUUUCUUGAAU